CUGGCUCAGGACGAACGCUGGCGGCGUGCCUAAUACAUGCAAGUCGAGCGGAGUUUAUCGGGAGCUUGCUCCUGAUGAACUUAGCGGCGGACGGGUGAGUAACACGUAGGCAACCUGCCCGUAAGACUGGGAUAACUACCGGAAACGGUAGCUAAUACCGGAUACG
rnacentral:rRNA from 1 species